GAAAAGCCAGAAAGGAAAAAAAGAAAAGAGAAAUAUUUAUGUAUUUUUUGAAACAUAAAAAGGCAAAGAGCACAUGGACACACAAAAGAAAUAUUUUCUGAAAAAAAUAGUUUUCUCAAAGUAGGCAAAUAGGAACGCAAAAAGAAGCCAAGAUAAAAGAUUUCCAAAGUCACUAUUAAAGGAAAUCAAAUAACCUCCAAAGAAAAAGCAAAAGGAAAGAAGAAUAUUUUUCUUGUUUUCCCAAGAAAUUCAAAAGGACAUAAGGACAAAGAAAUACUUUUUUUAAGAAACAAUAGGAAGCAAAAAAAAAAACACUUCAAACCUUUUGUUGGCAACGCACCGCCUCCAGCUCAACCUACUUAUGGCUUCUAGGCUCGCCCAUUUCCGCCUAUUCAUCACUAUGGGUAUUCUGGUGUUGCUCUUCUCAGUACGACUUACCGUGAAGUCAUGUUCAUCCGGAACGACGACAUGCGAUGGCAGAGGAUAGGGUUGCUCUUUAACGUAUCGGCACGUGGGGUCUCAUUACACUUCCUCCCCAUGCUCAUCCCAUCACUUGUAUCUUUUAAGUGGGUCUAGAAGAUUUAGACUUUGAUGGUUCUCUUGUGUUACAAAGCUAGUCUUGUGACAUGUGGCUUUCAACAGAAACAUGGCUAUGACUACGAUGAGACAUUUGCUCAUAUGGCCACAUGACCAUCCUUCCGACACUUCUUGCAAUGAUAUUUGUUCACUACUCGUUCGUCUCUCACCUUGAUGUCAAGAAUGUAUUUCUUAACGAUGAGUUGCAUGAGGAAGUCUACAUGUAGCCACCACCUAGAUAUUGUUUCCCUGGUGGCAUGAUCUACCGUCUUCAUCGCCUCUAUAUGCCUUUAGUUCCUCGUGUACAGUUUGAGUGUUUUUUCUCAAUGAUGAUUGCAAGUAGUUUUUUGCCAAAUGAUCAUGAUAUGCCCUUUCUAUCCAUCUUUCAGUUCGUGGUCGAACUUCGCUACUAUAUGUCGAUGACAUGAUCAUCAUUGCCAAGUGUAGUGCCAUUUUGAAGUUUUUAUGUCUGAUAUUGGUCCUCUUGGCUACCUCCUUGGAAUUGAGGUUUCUUCUAUUUCUGAUGGCUUCUUUAUUUCUCAAGAGAAGUAUAUUCAGAAUCUUCUCGCUCGUGCUGCUCUUAGUGACAGGGUCAUUGUUGACACUCCCAUGGAGCUCAACGUCCACCUUUGUGCUUCCGAAAGUGAGCCUUUUUUUGAUCUGACGCACUAUCGUCAUCUUGUUAGGAGUCUUGUCAGAUGUCACUCGUCCAGACAUUUCAUAUCACGUUGUCAUUCCAAGUCGGUUUGUUUCUGCUCCCACUUGAGUCACCUUCCCCGUGUUCUAUGCUAAUUUUGUGGAAAUAUCUCACCGUCUCUCCUCUUCCAAUGCUAGAGUUCGCUCGUCCCUUUCUACUUAUUGUGUUUUUCUUGAUGGUUUACCCAUUGCCCGCAAGAGAAAGAAACAAAUUGCACUUUUCCCUUUGAGUGCAAAGGUUGAGUUGCAAGCUAUGACUCUGUUCACAACAGAGGUGACUUGGUUACAAUGGUUGCUUUAAUAUGUGCCUUCCAAUUUACAUUUAUGAUUGGCCGAUUUCUACACAGACUCAAACAGAGCACAACACGGCCUCUCUCUCUCUCUCUCCAAAGUCAGUGUUUUUGAUCCACCAUGACCUUGAGGAAUUUAGUGUUUCUAUCACCACAUUACUCCUCAUGUCAUACCAUAUUGUAGAUGAGCUAUCAGGAUUGCGCCCAACCAUGUGAAGCAUGAGCUCACCAAGCAUAUUAAUAUCGAUGCCUCCUUCGUGCGUGUAGAAUCAGAUUAUUACUCUUCAGUAUGUGCCUUUCGAUUUACACUUGGUCAGUUUCUUCACGAAGGCUUAGACAUAAGCACAAGACAGCUUUUACCUCUCCAAAUCCACCAACAAUUGGCUGAUUUCUACACNUUCAAAAGGACAUAAGGACAAAGAAAUACUUUUUUUAAGAAACAAUAGGAAGCAAAAAAAAAACACUUCAAACCUUUUGUUGGCAACGCACCGCCUCCAGCUCAACCUACUUAUGGCUUCUAGGCUCGCCCAUUUCCGCCUAUUCAUCACUAUGGGUAUUCUGGUGUUGCUCUUCUCAGUACGACUUACCGUGAAGUCAUGUUCAUCCGGAACGACGACAUGCGAUGGCAGAGGAUAGGGUUGCUCUUUAACGUAUCGGCACGUGGGGUCUCAUUACACU
rnacentral:lncRNA from 1 species